rnacentral:lncRNA from 10 species
UUGCUAAAAUUUACACUGCCUACGAAAGCUGACCUGGAAUGUGAACCAGAAAUUGUCCUUAACCAAAUCACCUCACUGUCUCUCAAGAGAUGGGGUCUCACUACAUUGCCCAGGCUGGCUCUCAAAUUCCUGGCCUCAAACGAUCCUCUUGCCUUGGCCUCCCAAUAUGCUGGGAUUACAGGCAUGAGCCAACACACCCAGCUGAAAGCAAUUGCUGUGCACAUCGAGAGAAGAUCUUGCUUUGUUUUGUUUAGAACUUUUCCAGGAGUUGUUCACUGUUUUGGAAAAUCACAUUAGCAAUGUCAACAUUACUCAUGGAAUUCGAGCCUCCAGUACAAUACACCCGAUGGGCCUGCCCCAGUGGCUGCCACAUUGACUGUGAUUCUAGGUAUGGAUCCAGGCACCUGCAAUGUUAUUUCUUUUAGCACAGUUCUGCCAAGAAUUUGCAUGUUGAAAUACAUGUUGUUUUAUUG